UACAGAGGGUGCAAGCGUUAAUCGGAAUUACUGGGCGUAAAGCGUGUGUAGGCGGAUAUCUAAGUCGGAUGUGAAAUCCCCGGGCUUAACCUGGGAACUGCAUUCGGAUACUGGAUGUCUAGAGUAUGGUAGAGGAAAGUGGAACUCCCGGUGUAGCGGUGAAAUGCGUAGAUAUCGGGAAGAACACCAGUGGCGAAGGCGCUUUCUGGACCAAUACUGACGUUGAGGCACGAAAGCGUGGGGAGCAAACAGG
rnacentral:rRNA from 1 species